rnacentral:rRNA from 1 species
UACGUAGGGGGGCAAGCGUUGUCCGGAAUCAUUGGGCGUAAAGAGCGUGUAGGCGGCCCGGUAAGUCCGCUGUGAAAGUCCAGGGCUCAACCCUGGGAUGCCGGUGGAUACUGUCGGGCUCGAGUCCGGAAGAGGAGUGUGGAAUUCCUGGUGUAGCGGUGAAAUGCACAGAUAUCAGGAGGAACACCGAUGGCGAAGGCAGGUCUCUGGGCCGAUACUGACGCUGAGGAGCGAAAGCGUGGGGAGCGAACAGG